rnacentral:rRNA from 1 species
AUUGGACAAUGGGCGCAAGCCUGAUCCAGCCAUUCCGCGUGCAGGAUGACGGCCCUCUGGGUUGUAAACUGCUUUUAUUUGGGAAGAAACCCUGGGAUUUAUCCCGGGCUGACGGUACCAAAAGAAUAAGCACCGGCUAAUUCCGUGCCAGCAGCCGCGGUAAUACGGAAGGUGCAAGCGUUAUCCGGAAUCACUGGGUUUAAAGGGUGCGUAGGCGGUUACGUCAGUCAGAAGUGAAAGCUCACAGCUUAACUGUGGAAUUGCUUUUGAUACUGCGUAACUAGAAUCAGGUUGAGGUUGGCGGAAUGUGACAUGUAGCGGUGAAAUGCAUAGAUAUGUCAUAGAACACCAAUUGCGAAGGCAGCUGACUAGACCUGCAUUGACGCUGAGGCACGAAAGCGUGGGGAGCGAACAGGAUUAGAUACCCUGGUAGUCCACGCCCUAAACGAUGCUUACUCGAUGUGUGAAUUAUUGCGCAUCCAAGGGAAACCGUUAAGUAAGCCACAUGGGGAGUCCUUCCCCCG